rnacentral:rRNA from 1 species
AACGUAGGUGGCGAGCGUUAUCCGGAUUCAUUGGGCGUAAAGAGCUUGUAGGUGGCGGCGUAAGUUGGACGUGAAAUCGCCCGGCUCAACCGGGCGGGGUCGUUCAAUACUGCGCGGCUGGAGGAGGUCAGAGGGAAGUGGAAUUCCUGGUGUAGCAGUGAAAUGCGUAGAGAUCAGCAGGAACACCCGUGGCGAAGGCGGCCCCCUGGGCCGUACCUGACGCUGAGGCGCGAGGCUAGGGGAGCGAACGGG